GCGGGACGAGGCUCGGGAGUGUGGGCCAUGACGGGAUGAGGCUCAGGAGUGGUGGCCAUGAUGGGAUAAGACUCAGGAGUGGGGGCCAUGACGGGCCGAGGCUCAGGAGUGGGGGCCAUGAGGGACGAGGCUCGGGAGUGGGGGCCAUGACCGGGACGAGGCUCGGGAGUGGGGCCAUGACGGGACGAGGCUCGGGAGUGGGGACCAUGACGGGCCGAGGCUCAGGAGUGGUGGCCAUGACAGGGACGAGGCUCAGGAGUGGUGGCCAUGGCGGGACGAGGCUCGGGAGUGGGGACCAUGACGGGACGAGGCUCGGGAGUGUGGGCCAUGACGGGACGAGGCUCGGGAGUGGGGACCAUGACGGGACGAGGCUCAGGAGUGUGGGCCAUGAUGGGAUAAGACUCAGGAGUGGGGGCCAUGACGGGCCGAGGCUCAGGAUUGGUGGCCAUGUUGUGAAGAGGUUCCUUCCCGGCGUCCUGCUCUGCCAGCUCCACCCUGUUUUCUAACUCCGCCUGGGUUGCCUAUACCACCGGCUCCACCCUGGCUCCAGGUCCACCCUGGUUGCCAGCUCCAGUCUGGUCUUCAUUACUGAUUUGUCUGUCAUUGUAGUUGUCGGUCACUUGUGUAGCUGUUAUGUUUGUCUUGUCUUUUAUUUUAUUUCUUGUUUGGAUUUGCCUGAGCUGGAUUUGUACCCUGAUUGGAUUAUCUGGUUUUUUUAUUUUUUGCAUGUUUUCUUCAAUAAAUCAUGUUGCAUUUAAAUUCUCACCUCAGCUUUGCCUCAACGUAACAGCCUGUCAUUUUGAAUGAGAAAAACCUGUGGCAGAAGGUGCACAAAUAAUAUGGAGAGCUUUCAUGUGACAAUGUGCUUUUUUACUAAGCGCUCAAAAAAUUUCAUCACUAGAGAUGUGAGUGCUAUUGGUCGAAAAUCAUUUAAUAUUAAGGGUCUAGAAACUUUUGGCACUGGUACUAUUGUAGAUGUUUUCCAUAUAACAGGAACAAUUCCAGUAUUAUACGAGGCUCUAAAAAUAUCAGUAAAAACUGGCGCUAACUGGGCCGCACAGUGUUUUAAAACAUUACUGCAUAUCUUAUCUGGACCUGGGCUUUUCCGAGGAUUACAUUUCUUAAAAAAUUGACUAACCUCUAUUUCACUGAUAUCAAAAGGAGAUUUAGUCAAAGAUAGUGGUGGCAACACUGGAGUAGCAUUACCUUCUCCCUUAUCAAAACGACAGAAGUAUAAGUUAAGCUAAUUAGCCAUCUCUAGCUCCUUAAAUUUUAUUUUUUUUUACAACAGAGGCUGUUUUCCUCUUCCCUAAUGAGGGACGUUUGUCAUAUUCUUAAUCCCCUGCCAGGCAUAUCGUGAGUUACCACAUGUCAGAGACGCUUCCAUUUUUUGUCUAUAUGUAUUCUUAUCUAUUUGUAUUUGUCUUUUAAUAUGCUUCUGUAUAUGCCUCUGAGUUAUCACAUCCUGAUUUUUAUAUGCCUUCCUUUUCUUAUUAAUAAGAAUCUUUAACUCUUUAGACACCCAAGGUUUAUCAUUGGGGUAGACCAUAAAAGUCUUAGUGGGUAUAAUAGUAUCUACACAGUAGUUUAUAUACUCAUUGACUGUUUCAACAUACUCAUUGAUGUCACCACUACCAAAGACCUCCCACUGGGUACAUUCAAAGCACCCCUGUAAAGGCAUUAUACUAUCAUUUAUAGAGAAUAGAGCUGCAUCAUUACAGCUCGGACCUGCUAAAAACAUGUUUUGGUUCUGAUUAUGAUGUUAAUUGCGCUGAAAUCAUGUGUUCUAAUUCCAGAUGAGUUUAAACUUCUGAUAUACGGUUUUCUGAGUGCGUACAUCUGAAGCACAUGGACAGAAAGCGGCUGUCACAGCAUGUGAUUGCUAAACUAAGUUCUCUUUCACACAGAAGUUUACGUUAAAAACACACGUGAGUUACAAAAACAGUCAGUUAUGUCUGUGAGGUAAACUGCUGAAAAAUAAAUUGCAUGUUUAUUUUAGAUCUGUGUGGCAGCAGCAAUAUACAGUAAAUAAAUCAAUAAAUCUGGGACUCUAAACAGUGUUCUGUUCUCGUCUUUGUAGCCAAAGUUAGAACAGUUAGCAUGUUUUGCUCAAACUUUCACCAUGACAUUAGAGAUGGUACACCAUUGUCUCUUGCAAAAUCAAAUGCUGUGGGUAUAAACUUACAGAUUAAGGGGCGGUAAUAUAAUGAGAUCUCUUUGAAAUCUGACGCGCUCUUUUUCUCAGAUGCUUGCAGAAAAAGGCUUACCAAAACAAAGUUACUGGGUUAAUCUUUUUCAUGUUUCCUUGGUUGGUAGAUGCACUGGGGACCUGAUUAUAGCACUUAAAACCUGGAAAAGUCAGAUUUUCAUGAUAUGUCACCUUUAACUGAAAAUUGUUUACUAUUGUCAUUUGCAUUAUUGACACACUCUUUCCUAUUUAAUAAUGUAAAGUGCUUGGACACAUUCUGUAUUGUUAAAAGCACUAUAUAAAUAAAGGUGACUUGACUCAAGCAAUUUUGUGGGGGUUUUGUGGUAUUUUUUAGCUACUAAAGCAACUGUAUCUCCAUUUUGAUUUUUGUUUUCCUCAAGUUGCUGAGAUGAAUCUUUUGCAGCAUUUUCUGCUUAUUAAAUUACAAAUAUUUAAUCUUUUUAACAAGAUUUUAUUUAAGUAACAGGCAUUAUACUGCAUCCUAAUGAUGCCUAAAUUUCUAAAAGAGAACAAUAAAAUAUUUUCCUACCUCUGUACCACAUCUUUGGCAACUCAGUCCAGCUAUACUAAGCAAAUCUGCACAUGUUUUUGCAAAGAACCUAAAUAGCCAGAAUGUAAUUAGCACUAUUAGGACUAUUGCAUUUGUCAUUUGCUUACGGAUGUAAUGAGCAAGAUACAAGGAACAGUUACCAGAUCACACGCAAAAUUGCCAUUCCAUGUAUGGUCUAAAACACAGCUGUCGUAAUGUUUUGUUUUUUUUUGCCACAGAAUAAAACAUUUUAAGGAAAUAUUCUAUGAGCAUUGCAGAAAUGUAAUAUAAAUAUUAUGUAAAGUGACAAA
ensembl:lncRNA